rnacentral:rRNA from 1 species
GUCGCUACUACCGAUUGGGAAAAUUUUAGAGAGUCCGGGACUGAUGAUUGUUCGGCUUCACGGCCUUACUUUCGUCGGAAACGAAUUCGAUAAUAUUUUUCUAGAAACAAGGUUUCC